UACGAAGGGGGCUAGCGUUGCUCGGAAUCACUGGGCGUAAAGCGCACGUAGGCGGCUUUUUAAGUCAGGGGUGAAAUCCUGGAGCUCAACUCCAGAACUGCCUUUGAUACUGAGAAGCUUGAGUCCGGGAGAGGUGAGUGGAACUGCGAGUGUAGAGGUGAAAUUCGUAGAUAUUCGCAAGAACACCAGUGGCGAAGGCGGACUCACUG
rnacentral:rRNA from 1 species